rnacentral:rRNA from 1 species
UACGUAGGGGGCAAGCGUUAUCCGGAUUUACUGGGUGUAAAGGGAGCGCAGGCGGCGCGGCAAGUCUGAUGUGAAAGCCCGGGGCUCAACCCCGGGACUGCAUUGGAAACUGUCGCGCUCGAGUGUCGGAGAGGUAAGUGGAAUUCCUAGUGUAGCGGUGAAAUGCGUAGAUAUUAGGAGGAACACCAGUGGCGAAGGCGGCUUACUGGACGACAACUGACGCUGAGGCUCGAAAGCGUGGGGAGCAAACA